UCAUUCUCUCAAAGUGGCCACUUAGUUUCUCACAAAUGUUUCCAUAGGGGAGAGAAGCCAUAUCACUCUAAUGUCUGUGGUACAUCAUUCUAUGUCCAAAGUGUUUUAAAAUCUCACAAACGUGUUCAUACAGGAGAGAAGCCAUUUCACUGUGACAUUUGUGGUAAAUCAUUCUUUCAAAAGGUAGCUUGACUACACAUAAACGUAUUCAUACUGGAGAGAAGCCAUAUUCUUGUGAUAUCUGUGGAAGGUCAUUCACUCAACAUGGCAACUUAACUUCUCACAAACGUGUUCAUCAGGGGAAGAAGCAAUCCCACUGAUAUUUGUGCUAAAUCAUAAUCUGUAAGGGGUGACUGAACCCUUUACCAUGCAGAUUAUUCUGUCGAAUGUGAGGGUUAUUUAUUCCCAUUAUUUUCAAUUUGUCAUACAUUCACCCACAGCUUUCAAGUUUUGAUGAUAUGAUUGUGUAUUUUCACAAUGACAUUGUAGGGUAGGUGUAAGAAGCCGACUCUGACUAGUUUGAUCAUAAAAUAGGUAGAAUAUUUGGGCCAGAUAUGGCUGGUUUAAAUUCUAAAGAGUGGACACUAGAUGCACCAAGUUGGCUGAUCUGGCAGUGUUUCUACAGCUGGAUGCCCUUCCUAAUGCCAACCACUCUGUGAGUGUAGUGGGUGCUUUUUACGUGCCACCUGCACAGGUGCCAGACGAGGCUGGCAAACGGCCACGAUCGGAUAUUUUAAAUACAGUCCUGCCCUGUCUCACUGUAGCAUUGCUCUCCACUAGUCCUGACCUGUAUGUUCCACCCCCAUUUCCUGUCUUACUGUAUUAUUGCUACUGGCUUGCCCUCAACCUAUGUCUUCCACCCACAUGUAACAAGAAAACUUUUUACACACCCUACCCCCAACAAACCAAUCUACAUCUCUUCUUCACAUUCCUUCCAUACACUAUGCCUACCUCUCACUCCCCCAAUCCUGUCCUCAUGGUGCUGUUCCUCUGUAUCAUUGCUAUCCGGUAGCACCCUGACAGUGCGUAACUGGUACUUAUAUAAUCUACCCCGAAAGGAUGUAAGGCAAAUUCGACCUCGGCGGAAUUUGAACACAGAGCCUAACGUUUCUGCUAGCUCGCCGCCUUUGCAGUAUCCUGUCCCUUAUAUUAUGAUGUUUGAACCUCAAGGGUAUGGCCUGGCCCUUGCCACCAUCUAUAUCUCUUUCUUCCCUUACUCAACCAUCCUCAUCUAUGCUCUAAUCCCCUCCCUAGUAAAUACGCCCAUCAUUUUGCCACUAUCUCCAUCGUGUUGUCUCCCACCCUCUAUCUCCUUCUCCUGCAUUUCCCUCAGGCUGGGUAACCAUGUAUCUCCUUUGUGGCGGCACUCCUGUUUCUGUCUUCAUUCCUGAUCUCUCUCUCUCUGGCCUGGUAAACUUGUACUUCCUCUACAGCGACGGACAGAUCACAACAACCGAUGCUGCCCAACACACAGAACCAAACCAGGAAGAUGCUACAGAAUUUCAACUGUGAUACAACUCCCACUGUUCCAGAUAGAGUUCGUUAAAACUUGCCAAACCUGUUACUUCACAAUAUGUAAGACAUUUGCCAUGUAUUUUUAUAAGGGGUUGUAAUAAAUAAUAGUUGCAUUGAA